rnacentral:rRNA from 1 species
ACGGAAGGCAGCAGCUAAGAAUAUUCCGCAAUGGGGGAAACCCUGACGGAGCGACGCCGCGUGGACGAUGAAGGCCGGAAGGGUGUAAAGUCCUUUUAUGGCAGAGGAAUAAGCGUGGGAGUGGAAAGCCCAUGUGAUGACUGUAGGCCAUGAAUAAGCACCGGCUAAUUACGUGCCAGCAUCCGCGGUAACACGUAAGGUACGAGCUUUGUUCGGAAUCAUUGGGCGUAAAGGGCAUGUAGGCGGUCUGUCAAGCCAGGCGUGAAAGCCAGGGGCUCAACCCCUGAACUGCGCUUGGAACUGGCGGACUGGAGUCGCUGAGGGGGAACCGGAAUUCCUGGUGUAGGGGUGAAAUCUGUAGAUAUCAGGAAGAACACCGAUGGCGAAGGCAGGUUUCCAGCAGACGACUGACGCUGAGGUGCGAAGGUGCGGGGAGCAAACAGGAUUAGAUACCCUGGUA